CAUAAGAAUGGAUAAUGGAAUUCUGAUGAACCAUAAAGCUCUGAAUAAUAUAUUGUUUUUGUAAUACUCACCUUGACUGUGCUUAGACCUGACAGAUCCUGGCUAUGAGCACAGCUUAGGAGUGAGUCUUCCAUUUUGUUCCCUUCCCAUGAUUUGCAGCAGCAGAUAUGAGGACAUGCACUUUGAUACAAAGGUCCAAGUAGAAAAUAGAGCACUUCAGAUUUAGAUUUGUCCAUGUUUCCAGUGGUUUCUACCAUCUGCCUCAAAUGGUGAAGAACUUGUGAUGCAGCAGUAUGAAGCUCUAAGAAGG